rnacentral:lncRNA from 1 species
ACUCAUCAUACAAAAGGGACACGAGUGAGUUUGGACUGAAAAAAAGAUGACAAAAAGGAAAAAGAACCCAGCCAAUAAUGCAGCAAAAUUCUAUUCUUUGACGGUCUUAUCCACUGGAAUAGUCAGAGCAGGAGCAUUCCACUUCUGAGCAUUAUGAUCCCCAAGCUCACAGAGUCUAACAACUUCUCCAAGUAAGUCAAUGGAAAUAAUGGCAUGAAAAGAGAACACCACUGCUUAAAUAUGGAGAAAGUUCCACUUUCAACAGUUGAAGUAAACUGCAGCAUUUUUAUACUCAUCAGUGAAGAAAAGGAGGUUUGCAAAUCCUCACAUUCCUGCUGUUUCUACAAAGUGCAUUACCUAAGGAUUAUGAAUUCUAAAGAUUUUACAAACCAGGAGAAUUUAUCAGGGGACACAAAGAAAAAAAACUUUCCUGUCAAAAAUUGUAAUUUCUCAA